rnacentral:tRNA from 2 species
GGAGGGGUGUCCGAGCGGUUGAAGGAGGCGGUCUUGAAAACCGUUGAAUCCUUGCGGGUUCCGUGGGUUCGAAUCCCACCCCCUCCGCCA